UAGAUGCGAGAGUAGAGCAUAUCAAUAAGCGGAGGAAAAGAAACUAACAAGGAUUCCCUUAGUAACGGCGAGUGAAGCGGGAAGAGCUCAAAUUUGAAAUCUUCAAGGUUCUACCUUGACGAAUUGUAGUUUAAAGAAGUGUUUUCUGUUAGAUGAGUAGCAAAAGUUCCUUGGAAUGGGACAUCAUAGAGGGUGAGAAUCCCGUAUUUGGUUAUUCAUUCUAGCUUUGUGAUACACUUUCAAAGAGUCGGAUUGUUUGGGAAUGCAGUCCAAAAUGGGUGGUAAAUUUCAUCUAAAGCUAAAUAUUGGCGAGAGACCGAUAGCGAACAAGUACCGUGAGGGAAAGAUGAAAAGAACUUUGAAAAGAGAGUUAAACAGUACGUGAAAUUGUCAAAAGGGAAGCGUUUGACACCAGUGUUGUUUUUCCGAAAAUCAAUUACGAAUGGCUUGAUUUUGUGUUGUAUUGACCUUAUCAGCUUUCUGCACUUUUUUCGAGUCUUUCUUAAUGCACUUUUCGGUUAACAAGUCAACAUCAAUUUCUUUUGUUGUAAAAGAGUAUUCGGAAGGUGGCUUUCUUUUCGGAGAAAGUGUUUAUAGCCCUAUACUUCUACAAUCGGAGAGAUUGAGGUCUGCAGCGUAGAUCCCUUCGGGGUUAGAUACACUUGUGCUAAGUUGUAGCUUUUCAUAGACAACUUGUUGACUAUGUUUAGUCAUGCGGCUUACUCGCUUGUGCUAUUUUACCUACGCUUAGGAUGUUGAGCGCAUGUCUCUCUCU
rnacentral:rRNA from 1 species